UGAGGAAUAUUGGUCAAUGGGCGGGAGCCUGAACCAGCCAAGCCGCGUGAGGGAAGAAGGCCCUAUGGGUCGUAAACCUCUUUUGUCAGGGAACAAAAGCGAGUAUGUAUACUGGUCUGAGUGUACCUAAAGAAAAAGCAUCGGCUAACUCCGUGCCAGCAGCCGCGGUAAUACGGAGGAUGCGAGCGUUAUCCGGAUUUAUUGGGUUUAAAGGGUGCGUAGGCGGCGGUGCAAGUCAGCGGUAAAAGCCCGGGGCUCAACCCCGGCGAGCCGUUGAAACUGCAGUGCUAGAGAAGGCGAGAGGUACGCGGAAUGCGCAGUGUAGCGGUGAAAUGCUUAGAUAUUGCGCAGAACUCCGAUUGCGAAGGCAGCGUACUGGCGCCUGACUGACGCUGAGGCACGAAAGCGUGGGGAUCGAACAGGAUUAGAUACCC
rnacentral:rRNA from 1 species